UUUAUUGUGAGCUAUUUAACCAAAACUACUAUGGAUUAUCAUAAUACAGGCAUACCAGGGAGCUCUAACUACAAACAUUUAAGUAGAGAAUACCUGUUCAAUAUGAUUUUUAUCUAAUUAGUUAGUCAAUAAAACCUUCUCCAAAUCAUGAA
rnacentral:lncRNA from 1 species